GCUUUCUUGCUCUGUGAGGCCUAACAUAAUCAUCAUGGAAGUUCAGACUUUGGUGAACAGAUCUACAUUAAUGUCGUCUCCCUCAGCUGAAUCUGAAUCCUGACUUUCAGAGCAGCAGAAAAUCUUCACCGUUCUGCAUUGAGCAGUCAGUAUUUGGGUCAUGUUGGAUAAAUGACAGAAACUCUGAACUCCAGCUUAACGACUCCAGGACGUGUUUCACCAGGAAUUGCCUCAGUC